AGAGCCGCGGUAUUUUGACCGUGCAAAGGUAGCAUAAUCAUUNGUCUCUUAAUUAGGGGNUGGAAUGAAUGGCUUGACGAGAAAUCAACUGUCUNUUAUUAAUUUAUAAAAUUUAACUUUUGAGUUAAAAGGCUUAAAUUAAUNUUAAAGACGAGAAGACCCUAUAGAGCUUGACAUUUUNUUAUANAUAUAGUUUUUAGUAAGUUUUUCUAUAUUUUAUGANAAUGUUUUGUUGGGGUGACAUGAAGAAUAANUAAACUCUUCAUUAUAAAAUCAUUGAUUUAUGUUUAUUAUGAUCCAUAAUUUAUGAUCANAAGAUUAAGUUACCUUAGGGAUAACAGCGUAAUUGNUUUUGAGAGCUCAUAUUGACAAAGCAGAUUGCGACCUCGAUGUUGGAUUAAGAAUAAUUUUGGGUGC
rnacentral:rRNA from 1 species